AUGACUAUUAUUUGGGCUUAUUUUGCACUUCAUAACAUUUUAAGAAGAAGAAACUCAACUAACUUGGAUAUUCUUAAAAGUUUAGAGAACAUCAGUGGUUUACUGGACAAUGAGCAAGAUUUUCAUGAAGGAGAUGAAAAUGGUGUAUCUAUUCAUGGUGAAUGGCAAACUCCAACUCAAGUUGAUGUUAGCUAUAUUGAAGAAAUAAGAAACACCAUCGGAGACCAAUUACUUAGAAACAUGGAGCUAAAACGACAAUAG